ACAUUGAGUUGUGGACAGCUGUGAAAAGU
rnacentral:piRNA from 1 species